GUUUUUCCAACGAGAAAGCAGCCUUGAAUCUGACUGAACUGAAGUACUUAAAACAAAGAUGAAGUGACCGUACCAUACCAUAAACAGAAAUCUGUAACUACAUCUCCCAAACUGAUGAUCUUCCUUCAGAAUCCCAACAAGAAUGGUUAGAUACACCUAAAAAGAGUACUGGUUUCUUCCUAAGAAAACACAGGAAAUGACCAUUCACACCUUACAAGGCAAGAUGGCAAAGAGUUUUCAACCAACAAGAAGCCAUGCAAUCUCUUAAACAGUCAGCUACAAACCACCACUGCUAGAAAAUCCCGGUAAAUCCCAUCUUCUUUCUUCUCUUAAUUACUCCUAUAGCAUCUAUAAUGUUGAACCAACCCCUAAAGUCUAUGACUUUAUUCUCAAAACCUCUUUUAAACCUUUCAAUUCCAUCACAUUCCUUCAGUUCUUGACCAUCUUGAAAAAGUUGAAAACUUUGAACCACCUGAAUCUAUUUUUGCUUAUCUUAUAGAAUUUUAUGGAAUUGCUGAUAAAAACCAAGAAGCAAUUGAGUUGUUCUGUAGAAUUCCAAAGAUUAGAUGCCAGUUGUUUGUAGAAGCAGUAAAGGUCUAAACUUGGUGCCCGAAAUUUUGUUGAAGAGUCAAGUUAUGAAUACUCGAAUGGAAGAAUCGACUUUUCAGGUAUUUAUUGCUGCUCUCUGUAGGAUUAGAAAGGUGGGUUUUGCUAUUGAGAUCUUGAGUUGUAUGGUGAAUGGUGGGUUUAUUGUAAACGCAGAAAUAUCUUCUAUGUUAUUGUCAUGUCUUUGUGAACAGAAAUAAGCAACCAAAUUCGAGGUUAUGGGGUUUUUUAGAGGAAUUGAGAAAGUUAGGAUUUUUUCCUAGAAUGGUGGAUUAUAGUAAUGUUAUUAGGUUUUUAGUGAAAGGAAAAAUGGGUUUGGAUGCUUUGCAUGUUGUGAAUCAGAUGAAAUAAGAUAAAAUUAAGCUUGGAUAAGGGUUUAUGCACUCAGAGUUUCACAUUUGAUGAGAUAAUUUGUGGUUUAUGCCAUAGAGACCUCAGUUGUAAAACACUUGAAUUACUUGAGAAAAUGGUUAGUAAGGAUGUCUCCUGGUGUUAGAGAUUGGAAAGCGCUUCUCCUUAACUCUGGAAUCGAACUUGGUUUUAUAGAGACUACAUUGUUUAGUUUGGUAGACACAAUUCAAACUCAGUUAAUGUUGAGUGAUUAACCCUCUUUUACUAAUGUUUCCCCCAGAAAUGGUUGAAGUCAGUGAUGAACCCAUGAAUAAAAUUUUGAGGCUAAGGAGAGUUUAUCUUCUUGGGUGGUGGAUCCAAGAAUAGAGUUUGUAUUUGUUGAAUUUUCAGUAAUGUUGCCUCAGUGGUGUGCCGUGAUGUUAAUAACUUUCAAUUAGCUAGCUAAUUAUGAAUUCUCAAAAAUUUAAAAAUACAAAUGACAUGGUAUGGAUGAAGCAUCAAGUUGCAACUUCAAAGUUUCUAUUCAGAAGCUAAGUUGCUGUAGUGGAUGGAUGCAUGUGUAUUUUGAGCACCAACGAGGCCAUUAUUUGAUUGUAUCCUUCAGUGGGGGCACAUGCAACUUGUCUGUUCUGAACACGAAAUCAUGCCUACCCAGUAUGCUUUCCUGGCCCUUACCUGGUUUUACAAAUUACAAGAAAUGCACCAAAUAUUAAAGGAACAACAUCCAAGUCCAGUGUCUCAAAUUUACCACCGUGUACAUUUGUCUUUAAGGUGAAUUAUUGUAGACAAGAACUUUAAUAGAUAGAAUAUAUAACUCCAACAAAAUGCUUGCGUUGAGUUGCUCAGAAGCUUAGCAGAGAGCUGUUGGUGGUAACUCGUACAUGACUUUUUGUUAUUUGUAUCAUGUCAUGAUACUAAAAAUUGGAAUAGUUCCAACUGGUUUGGAUCAACAGUUUUUGGUUGGAUCAGCUUCUUUUACCUGUACAACUUUUUUAGCUCCAGAAUUCGUGCAUUGCCACGCUUCAUCAACACUUGUUUACAAUAGAAAUUGUAGCCUUAAAAGUGGGAUCUUUUCCGAUCUACAAGGUUGAUCAGACCAAGGUAUGAGUUCAUCCUAGAAACCAAAAAUGCUGUUUCUUUUGAAAUGGGUCUUUCUAAUCCUCGUUUCCAUGGAAUUAAAGCUAGGAUUUGAUUAAUGGUGGUGAAAUGACACAAUUAUGGAUGUGUUGUCAUCUCAUUUCUUUACAUGUCAUUGUUUCCAACGGCAGGCCAGCGAAUGAUUUGCUAGAGUAAUUGGUAAACCAGCACCCAGUGCCUGCAAUAUUCUUCAUUGGGGUAUUUUGCAUGAUCAAAUCUAAGUCUUUUAUGGUUUAGGUUUAUAAGGCAUUUGUUAUUAUUAAAUUUACUUGCUGAAUCUGGAUAGUGAAUGCAUGCCAAACUCUUGGUUUUCAUUGACUGAAUUUUCAUUUGGAUUAUAUAGACUAUAUAGAUGGGUUAGGUUUGUUGAUUUCUUAUUUCACUAAGUGUCCACUCAUGUACUUUCUUCAUCAAAUAUUAUGAAGUUAAACGAGUCUAUAACCCUCCAACGGCUGCUUUUCCUUUUUUCUGAAAGUGGCCAGAACUCUUGAACUGUCAUCGCAAUAGAAUUUGAUUAGAGGAUCUCCAAGAUAGAAGAACAUAUUAAGCAACUGGGGUCAGACUCUGUCCUCACUACCAACUGUUUAUUGUUCACAAAUCUCUUGCAAGUCUGCCAUAGUUGCAGGGAAGAGUCUAAAUGAAACGAAAUUUGCUCUAUUUCUUUCCAAGCUUGUAGAGUUGCAUUGUAGUAUAUGAACAGUGAUCAAGGACAAUCUAUUAAUCUGGCACCUGAAAUACUGUCAACAACAAAAUUAUCAUAUUUCAUGUUAGCUUUACCAGUA